rnacentral:rRNA from 1 species
AUGGCAAUUGUCAACAUUGCCUCAGGAGAGAUAAAUGAAACCCGUUUUUUGGAAGGAUUCAACUACAUGUUCAGUUGGAAUUGGCAGUGGAGAUGCAAGAAACAGGGGAACAUGGCCUAUCUUAUGAGGUUUCCAAACAAAAGUAGAUUGAUAGAGCUGCACAAUUUUAGAGAUUUCAACCUGUUGGGGACUAAGGCUAUAAUCAAUGUUGACAGUUGGACAUAUGACACCCAAGCCAUAGGAAAACAACAUAUUGUGAGGGUAAAAUUUGGAAAGGUACCUGAGUGUUUCAAACACUUUUUUGGGAUCUAUGAGGUUGCUGCAACUAUUGGGCCUGUCCUGGAAAUUGAUAUGGCUACUAUCCUAGAAGAGAGGGUGAGAGCUAAGGUGGGGGUAAGAGACUUUGAAAAAUUUCCCAAGCACACUGAAGUUACUAACAAGGAUCUGAUGAUAUACAGAGUGACAAUGGAGCUAGAAGAGGUAGUGGAGCAAGCUUGGUAUGAGGAGAAAAGGAAAUUUGAUAAUGUUGAUACUGUACAGGAAGAAGAUACAAAAGAGAUGGGAAACAAGAUCAAGAUUGGAGGCAUGGAUGCUGGUGGGAGCAAAGAAAGUAUCUCUCUGGGCAGUUGUGAUAGCCUGGCUUAA